UACGUGAGGUGCAAGCGUUAAUCGGAAUUACUGGGCGUAAAGCGUGCGCAGGCGGUUAUGUAAGUCGGGUGUGAAAGCCCCGGGCUCAACCUGGGAAUUGCAUUCGAGACUGCGUGGCUAGGGUGCGGAAGAGGGAAGCGGAAUUUCCGGUGUAGCGGUGAAAUGCGUAGAUAUCGGAAGGAACACCAGUGGCGAAAGCGGCUUCCUGGUCCAGCACCGACGUUCAGGCACGAAAGCGUGGGGAGCAAACAGG
rnacentral:rRNA from 1 species